GGGUGUAGGUCAGUGGUAGGUUGCUUGCCUGGUAUGCAUAAAGCCCUGGGUUUGAUCCCCAGCACUGCA
rnacentral:tRNA from 1 species